AAGCUCUGGAGAAGCAGGUGAAGGAAAGUUUUCAUAUGGACACCAUCCAGCUCAGCCUUUAAAAUGCCAUGGAAAAGACUUUACCAGCAUGACCGACUAGAAUUGGUAUCCAUCUGGGAGAAGGAAAAAAGGAAGUAACUCUAUCCAGACUCCAACUUGCUGUAAAGAGCAACAUUAUUAUGUGGCAGGAAGGCCACUAACUGGGUACACAACUGCCACAUCUUGCCAGCAACAGCACAGAAAAUUUUGCCAGAGGUGGAGCAGCCAAGCACUCCACAUGUUCCCCUCCAACCACUGCUGAAACAGCAGAGUAAAUUUCCUCUACACAGCAGCUGUAUUUGCUUGUUCCCCAGAAACGCCAAAAUAAUCAUGAGGCUUUGCUCUCCCUCUAUGACCUGGGACAGGAGAGAGAAAUCAAAGCUGUUAAAAAAAUGUAUGUUUCAUGCAUCAACAGUGAUUGUACUGAAACAGCAUCACAGACCACAGUAACCAAAUGGGGCAUUACUACAACAGGAGUGAUCUCCAUGCAGUGUAUGUGUCUCUGGGUGUAGAAGGAAGAAAGCAAAAUGAAAGAGCACCUUCUCAACCUAAGUUUGUUACAGGUUCUAGACUGCUGGAAGAAGAAUUGCUGAGAAUGACAUCUCCUGGGGCCAGGAUCUUCUGGGCAUCAGAGCCUCCUUUUGCCCAGCCAUCUCCUGUUGACCCUCAACUGCAACACUCUUCUGUGUCUGGCCUCUCUGAACCAUUAGCAGAGGCAAAACCACUGGUUGCAGGCCCACAACAGGACAAGUACUACUGCUAAACAGUGCUUCUAGGCAUUUUUAUAUUCUGACUUUUUCCUCCAGGAGAGACCAGGCUGCCGCUGGACCCCUCUGGCUCCAAAGACCAUGGGAAAUGAAUGCCAGUACUUUUUCUGGUACUGCUGAAAAAGAUGAAAUUGCCGGAUUUUUUCCUCCCUUUCUGUGUAAAUAUAGUAUGGGGUAUCCAUUACACUGUGCUUAGGAUCCCCCUGGAUGAUGAGGGGAGCAGAGACAGACAUGAAAGCAAGCACUGCUUCAUCCCCAGAGAGACAGAAUGCUCCACCCACACCAGGGACUGAUUCUGACAAGAAGGAAAUGAAUGCUGAGAAAAAUGGCUUGAAACUCAUGUAUUUGUUUCUUCUACAUUUCACAUCUAUAGGAUAAAGCUAAUGCCAGGUCAGCAUCUCAUCUUCCACGUCACUGACAGUAAAUAACAAGCCCCAAAGUAACAAGUGGCGUUUGCCAUAAGAAGCUUGGACUGGAAGAGCAGGAGAGCUACAAGGCAGGAGUGACACAAGGGCAGAAAUACUGUAGGGUGCUCUGGGCUGGGAAGGCUGCAGGGCAGGAGGGGUGCAAGGUGAGAACCAGUGUGGGAAUUCAAGUCCCAAGCAAGAUGCAGUGAGGGAGCUAGGUAGGACAGGCUUCUGCAGAAACAGCUUGCACCGAGCCUGUUCUAGUUAAUUGCCGUCAAUCCUUCACUUCCUGACAACUGCAACUCACAUUAAUUUAAAUAAUAAGAAAGACUGAGACAUGAAAAAUAGAGCAUGCUUCCCCAGCACAAUCACUGUUGCUCUCCAGAUGAAAGCAAGUGAUUUGUUUCCACAAAAAUACCCACUAUAGCAGUUAUUACAGACCAGGGGCUGCAUACGGGAGGCAGCAAGGAAACCACAAACAAGAGAAUACGCAAACAUCUGCUGUUGUUAUCCUUGCCUUUUAUGACCAAAGCCCUUCACAGCUCAAAACUCCCCCUGAGAUAUUUACCUGGGAAGGUGUGGGGCAGGCUGGAUCAACAUUAUAAUUCAAGGCUAUGGAAGGAGGCAAGGAGUAGUGCUACACCCCUUUUCCUAAUUUAGUUUACACUGGAACUGGUCAUGCCACAGCUCCCAAAGAGUUCAAAUACUUGCCUUUUGAUCAAAACAUUUAAGCACAGCACAGGCACAAAGUGGGUUGAAUAGGAACCACUGCUUUGCACAAGAGGUACUUAUAUGCAAGGGGUACUUAAAGGCCCCCGGCAGCAGUUUCUGGCUCCUGCACUGAUGGCACUCCAGUUUCAUGAUGCUACACGCAAGAUCUUAGUACAGGAGGAGGACUGGUUUGAGAGACAAGGGCAGGAAGCACAGGACGAGGAACUCAAAUCAGGUAUGGUAGAAUAAAAAAAUGGAAACAGAGGAGAUCUAGUUGGAAGACACCUCGAGCCCUGUAAUGCACACACAAGAAAUUAACAGUCAGAUAUUCCGACUGUUCCCUGUGGGCAAACAGAACUUUGCAUAAGACCCUUAAGUGCAGCCUUCUACAGUGGAGCAUCUACUCCCCAAUCUGAAAUUACAAGACUGCUUAACAGCCAAGUAUUUUGUCAGUAAAUCACAAAAUACAUUUUAAAAAACACAUUUCUUAUUCCCACUCAACAGACCUAUGAUACAGCAAAAGCUAUUUGAUACCUCCAAGACACAGAUGCAAACAGUAUUGAAAUUUCCUAAGAAAGCCCAUAAGCUUCAUUUAAGUGCUCUGCUUGUCCCAAGAAGGGCACCUUGGAUACAAAUGGAAAAAGUCACUGCAAUCCCUUCCAUAUAUCCUCAUUAGUUGCUUCCUCCAGCCUAUUUCCUUCCUCUCUAUUGGCAAGUAGGACCCCCAUCUGUUGGAGAAAAUUAAGACUCACAUCCAAAAAUACACAGGAGCCCCUGGCUCUCAGGGCAAAAAAAGAAAACAUCAGGACUUCACUCAAAAGUCAAAGGAACUUUGCAGCCACUAAAGCCCUCCGCAGGUGCCUAUCAAUUAGCCUCGAGAGUUCUCAUUUCCUUGUCCCCAGCUCCCAAUUAACAGCACUUUGCAACAAAUGCAAAGACGCUAAUAAGCCCCAAGGCAGAGGUAGGGGGGACGCUGCCCAUCAUAUGCCCCUUGAAUGCUCUGAAGCAGCCACCUUGCUCACCACAAUUAGGGGUCCUUUCCUGGGGCAAUUAAUUGACAGCAAAUUGGCCUCAUUAGUCAUUGUUUAGUUACAGCGUUUAGUUGGGAAGAGAGGACCUGAAGACGGGGCUGAGCUGCUAAACACAACUAAAUGGUUUAAUUUCCCUCUUAUGUGUACAGCAGGCUAAUCACAGCUCUUUAGGGCUGUAACAAGAAACAGCUUGUUGAAGCUAAAGUCCGCAAAGGGAGCAAGCUGAGGACUGGAAAGUAAAAUCCAGACACCCUAUGGGAUGCGGCAUGCUAAUGUUUCUGAAAGCGUUUUGCAGAAGAAAUGCGACAUGAGACCCAAGAUGUGUUUUUUUACGGUCUGAUUCACGCUGCAGUCUCAGCCAGAGGGAGAUGAAGCUGUCACCAGGGCGAGAGGGCAGAGACUGAAGUUGUUGAACUUUACAUUAAAGAGAGUGGACUCUGAAACAGCCUUCUGACCUUCCGCUUUUCUAGGCUUGGUUUCACCCUGCCAAUGCCUCGCGGCAUUAACGCUUCUGUGAAGUAGAGGCAAAUGCUGAAGGCUUGGUUUUGUUCUUUAAUCCCCUGGGAACAAAAACCCACCCCAAAUACAUAUAGUGUUUUUACAAGGUGUAAAAAGUGCUUCUUUUUAUUGUCUGAAAGGGAGUGCCUUAUCACGUGGUCCUUAGGGAAGAGUCUAUCACAGCCAGAGCAGGGAAACCACUUAAAGAGAUCUGCAGUUCCCAAACCACAGUGUGCUCCCUCACCGCUCUGCAGCAUCGUGGCUGAUCUCCAUCCAGCACCACUGCUGAUGCCAAGAGAGGCCGGGCAGAAGGAGUCACAGGGACUGCUACCUUGGGCCUUGCAUCUUGAUGAGCUUCCCCGACUGCGCAGUUGAGCCUCACCCACUGAGACGCCAGGCAGGAAAUUAUUUAAAAUCCAGAUGGGGACUGCACAUAUUGCACUGACUGGGAGCAGAGAAGCAGACGGGAUGCUGUAAAUCAAAGCCUUGUGGAAAGCGAUCCCCCUUUGCUGAGCUGGGUAGCACAUCAGAGCUCACCACACCUGAGAGGAAGAGCUUACAAGCCAAAACAUUUUGUCCAAAGGACAGCUGUGUCGCAUCCAAUAUAUAGUUAAGUGUCUGGACUAUUUUUCUGCAUAACAUUGCAUGGGAAGCACUACCAGAACAUUCUUUCUUAGCAGAGAGCAGCACAGAGUGCAAACCUGUUGGACUGUCCCAUUCCUGAGCUGCUAGAAAAGUCAGCACAGAACUGAGCUCAGUUGCUUACAGUCAUUUCCACUGACUCUACUUUUUUAAAAUUUCUCUCCAUGAAAUUUUCAGAAGAGAAAGUAUUUACCUUCAGGACUGAGGGAGAAAUGGAUGGAAAAGAGUACCUUAAGUCUCAAGCCAAUCUUGUUUCUCAGUGCACUGAAGGUGCACUCAAGGUGACAAUGUGGGACAAGAUUAAAAGCAGUCUCACUUCUGCUCCUAGCCCAGUACCUCUACUUUAAACUUGGAUGCCAGGCUUUCAUUCUAAAGCAGCUACAGCUUCAAGCUUGAGCCCCAGCGUGGGAAAAACCCCUCUUUUAAUUUUAGAAAGACGGCAUAAACUCAGGGAACAAAGAAACAAAAAAGAAUUUAUUUGGCGUGCUGGGUCCUUCCCCCACUGAGUUUUCGGGGAGAAAAGACCCAUUGGCUUUAUAUCUCAUUCAUUUUAUAGUUUUACAAAAUCCCCCCCUUUUUCAGAUAAGUUUAAUAUAUUCAUUUUUACCUAAAAAGGUUUCUUUUCUCUAAAAAGGGGCUUUUCUUUUAUUCUGAUUGGCUGCAAGGCAUCCCCUGUCAAGGAUGAUGGAUCUUCCUUUGUUCUUAGCCCAAAAAGAGAGAACCCCUUUUGUACAAAACUGGCCCCAAAAGAUUUUAAGAACUCUUGCAUUUCCCUUAUCUGGCCGAAAAAGACCCUGACACUCAAGUCCAGUAUUUUUGAGCUUGGAUAUUUUACGCCAGCCUUGGCCCAAUGCUGAUAGCAUUCCACAUACACUUGGCUUUUUGGUGUUCCCUCACCAAGCACAAGGUUACAGAACCCACAUUUGCAGAUCCUGAUGCAGCCCAGGAGAGCAGGUUCUCAAUUAUGUGGUCCCCUUAUCACCAGAUUUGCACAUCUGGAUAUGAGGUUCUUUGCUACAAAACUUCUUUUUCUUUUAUAUUAACAUGGCAAAUUUAUGACACUUAUCUGCUGUUUGUGUUUCUUGUAAAACUAACUCUCCUAAAGAAGCCUGCUGUGAAAACACAGCCUUCCUCACAGGACGUGUAAACAACAACAGAAAUGCUUGCCAUUCUAAUCCCCAGGGAUUACCCUUGGAAUGCAACCUAAUCCCAAACACUUUAGGGACUAUAGAUGUACACAGCUUUUGGUCUUUGUUUCAAGUGUAUUUAUAUAUUCCCUUAAACUGUUCUUUUUAAAUCUGGGAAGUAUUUAUUUACAGGACUGUAACAAUACAAAAUCUUUUCUUCUGCAUAUAUAAUCAGCCAUUCUGGAAGAGAAAUUCUGUGAGAAAAGUUGUCCUUCGUGUGCAGGUCUUCCAAAGACAUCUCUGAGAAUUUUUUAAGAAGAACUUUUCCACAGAAGCAUUAAGCAUGUUGGAUGUAUAUGGCAUGCAGCUGAGUCCUAAUAUGCAGCCUUUCUAGGGCUUGAUUCAGAGCCCAGGGAGCUCCUCCUCUGAUGUUAAUGGCCUUUCGACAAAUUCUUAUAGAGCCAGAAUGGGUAUGGCUUCAAGGAAAUGCUGCAGCCAUAACAGGGAUGCUUUAUAAGCCAGUUGAGAGAAAAAAAGUAAGAUUAUGGGUUUUUAACUGAGUCCCAGCUGUCCUUGGCUUCUGCCUGUUAACUCUUACUUUGGGAAGUAGACUAGGGAGCACAGGCCAUGUAUGAGAAAAAAGAACAGAGAAAAGCCUAUGAAAUUCCAGGUACAGAGAAGGUUUAGGAAGAUGACUGAGAUUUUCCUGAUUAGGCAAGCAGGGAAGUUAAUGUCAGCUAACACCCCACUCUGGAUGAAGAUGAGGUUGUCCAUCAUAGCUUUACAUACUGGAGAAACAGAGCCAAAAUGUUUGGUUUUUUGUUUGUUUGUUUUCGGAUCUUAUGCUGGUGCUUAUGUUCAGCUCAUUAGGGACAGACAGUACAACCAACAGAACAGCCUUCAUGAGCCACCUGACAGACAUCCACAUACAGGCUGAAAAGAAAAAGCAUCUCUCUCCAAAUGCUGUUCUCAGAUUCCUUUGGCUGCCCAUGGUUUAUCCCACAGCAUCUUUGAUAAACCAUAGGGUGGCAAACUCUCCUAAGUGUCUUGUGCAUACCACAUACCCAAGGAUCUGGCGCAGUUUCAACUGAGACAGCUUCUUAGUGACAAGCCUCUCACUCAAAUAAAAUGCAUGUGGUACAUGUAAAAUAUCUUUUAUUAGCAGGCUUUCCUUCCUUACACAUUGAAACGAGCAAAAUGGAAUGGGAGAGCUUGCUGUAACCACCUUUCAGGAUUGCUUUCAGGCUUCUGGGGGAGCAGAAAGCUAGCAUAGCACUUUGAAAAUACUGAGUUUGCUUCCAGUCAAAAGUAUAAAGAACAAGCAUAAUAUACCCAUACUAGGACCUUUACAUAAAAUCAUAAAAUGUCUUGGGUUGGAAGGGAUAUUAAAUCAUUUAGUUCCAAUUUCCCUCCUGUGGGCAGGGACACCUUUCACUAGACCAGGUUGCUCAGAGCUCCAUCCAACCUGGCCUUGAACACUUCCAGGGAUGGGGCAGCCACAACUUCUCUGAGCAACUUUUUCCAGUGCCUCACCCCCCUCACAGUGAAGAAUUUCCUUCUAAUAUCUAAUCUACACCUACCCUCUUUCAGUUUGAAGCCAUUCCUCCUUGUCCUGUCACUACAUACUCCUGUAAAUAGUCUCUCUCCAUCUUUCUUGGAGGAUCCCUUCAGGUACUGGAAGGCCAAAAUUAGGUCACCUUGAAGCCUUCUCUUCUCCAGGCUGAACAAUCCCAAUUCUCUUAGCCUUUCCUCAUAGGAGAGGUGCUCCAUCCCUUUAAUCACCUUGGUGGCCCUCUUCUGGAGUCGCUCCAACAGGUCUAUGUCCUGUCUGUGCUGAGGACCCCAGAGCUGGAUGCAGCACUCCAGGUGGGGUCUCACCAGAGUGGAGGGGCAGAAUCACCUCUUUCCAUCUGCUGACCACACUGCUCUUGAAGCAGCCUUGGACACGUUUGGCUUUCUGGGCUGUGAGCACACAUUGCUGGAUUGUGUCCAGCCUCUCACCUACUAGCACCCCACACUCCUUCUCGGCAGGACUGCUCUCGAUCUGUUCCUCCCCCAGCCUCUAUUGAUACUGAGGGUUGCCCCGACCCCCACUCAAGGUGCAGCACCUUGCACUUGGUCUUGUUAAAUCACAGGAGAUUCCCAUAGGCUCACUUCUCAAGCUUGUGUGGUUCCCUCUAGAUGGUAUCCCAUCCUUCAUGCUUUAGAUAAAAUUUAUUCUUCUGUUAAGUGCACGGAUUUGGAGAAGACAGUAAAGUACUGUACACUGUCCUUCAUCUGUAAAUUUCCAACUUAUGGCCCAGGACAGAUAUCUGUUAAGAACACACGAAUUUUGAGUGUGAAAAAGACUGAAAGUGCAGCUUCACAUUUUUUUCGCUUGGGCUGCUCAGCACAUUCCUGCUUUGUCACUAUUGCUGGAUCCACAGAUGUUGGCCUUCCCUACCACACACAGUUAUGAAAUGCUAGCUGUGAGACCUCCACUUGUUAGCUUGGUGAUAGCUGCAGCAGCCUACUUUCUAAACGCCAGGGUGUUAUCAUCAUCUCAGAAGGGAAAGCCAAAGAGUUCAAGGCAAAGAAUGCCUCUUGUUGGAAAUUCCCAUCUACACAAGUCUGAUCAAGCAGAAAAGAGAAAAAAACAAAUAAAAUACUCCUGAAGUAAAGGUAUCUUUGAAAAAAGUAAGCAGCAGGCUAAAGCUGAGAUGUGAUUGUGGUGAUUUCAUUCCCACAAACCAACGGACAGCCAAGGUUUCCUGAGGAAGAGAAUUUCUGCUGUCGGAGAGAGUUCCCCGCCAAAAGAGAGUGCUCUGUUUUGGUUCAGCCACGUGCAGCAGCACCUUGAUGUCUUGGAAGUUUCCCACUGUUUCCCUUUCCAAGCUUUGCUCUGUGGUAAAGAUGCGCUGUAUACAUGCAGACAACCUCAAAGGGGGAAAAGGAUGAAUUCCAAGAGCUUUGCUCUGUAAACACAUUACAUUGAAUUGAUGCCAUUUCAAUUAAAGGAGAAUCUCUCCCAGACUGCCAGGCAUGAGGCUUAUUCCAUGUGGCCUGCAGCUUUACCAAGACACACAAAAACACUGUCUUCUUCCCCCAGGGGGGUUCAAGUCUGUCCUCUUCAAAACUGACAAUUUUUUUUUCUGAUUUCCUAGUGUUAGCAAACUGAGGGAGAGUCACAGAAUCAGAGAAUGGGUCACGUUGAAACAGACCACAGUGGGUUACCUGGUCCAACCUCCCUGCUCAAGUAUCAUCCUAGAGUACACUACAUGGGAUUGCAUCCAGACAGUUCUUGAAUAGCUCUAGUGAGGGAGACUCCACAACCUUUCUGGGCAGUCUGUUCCAGUGCAGGGUCAACUGCACAAUAAAGAAGUUCUUCCUUAUACUCAGAUGGAACUUCCUGUGUAUCAGCUUCUGCCCGUUGCCUCUUGUCCUAUUGCUUGGCACCACCAAGUAGAGCCUGGCUCCAUCCUCUUGGUAUCCUCCCUUCAGAUACUUGUAUACAUUGAUGAGGUCUCCUCUCAGUUGUCUCUUCUUGAGACUGAACAGGCCCAGCUCCCUCACCUGUUCCUCCUAAGAGAGAUGCUACAGUCUCUUUAAUCAUCUUUGUUGCCCUUCGCUGAGCCUGGUACAGGAGCUCCAUGUCUCUCUUGUCCCGAGAAGCCCAGAACCGGACACAGCACUUCUGUCCUCACUAGGGCUGAGUAGAGGGGCAGGAUCACCUCCCUUGAUCUGCUGGCAAUGCUCUUCCUAAUACACAUUAAAUUCUAGGAUUGAAGAGAAAUGCAGGAUCAAGAGCCUCAGGUACUCAAUUUCCACCAGAGCUGAGCUGGAUUACCCCCCCAAAUUAUUCUGAGAGGCUGGGAGGAGGCAGACUGUCAGAUGCUCAGGGUUAGCUAUAAAUGCAGGUGCCUACAAGAAAGAAGCAGCAAAAUUUUGUAAGUUUCAGAAUCACAAGUAACAAACCAAGAAGAACACGGUAGACAUUGUCCAUCCAGGACAAUGAGGUUACAUCCAGAAAGGUUUCCAGCACCUUUAUGUUGAGUGGGACAACAGCUUUACAGAUAACUUUUGUCUAAGGUUCUGCAAGCAAAUGCUCAUCACCCCAGAAAUCCAAUGCUACUAGCUGGAGAUUAGGAAUGAGAUACCUCCUCUGAUUGUCAACAAAGAACACUAACAAAAAACUGCAAAUACUUCCACCACAAUAGGGAAUCAAAAACUAAGUCUGAUGGAAAACGUAAGCCAUGUCUCUCUGCUGUAGCAGCACAUCCACAUCUGUGCACUUGGAAUAGCACAGCUAGCAGGGUAAGCAACAUUACCAAAACCUGAAGGAAUCACUCAGGUACUUCAUGUUAAAGCAGCUGUUCUGCUACACACUUGUGCUCCACCUUUCUAAGGCUCAGUUCCCACUGUCACUCUUAGGGAACUACUGUGUGCAAGAUAUGUGGCAUCCCCCUGAGACUGACACCUGACUGGUGUCACAGGAGGUAUGGUGCCUUACCAUCAACAGCUCCAACAGGCAAGUAGGAGAAGUAAGGGAAGAAUAUCUGCAAAGCCUCAGACUGUUCCUUAUGAGGAAUUAACAUGCUGCAAAGUUCCUUGGCACAGCAAAAAGGGCAAAUCCAAGGCAGACCUAUUCAUGGGCACAGGAAACAGGCCUGAUCCUUUACUGGUGGUAUAAACUAAAGAGAAUAUACUCUUUUACAAGAAAGGGAAUGCAGAGAAGGAGAGAAUCAGCCCUGUGAUUCAUAAACCCAGUGUAAAAAGCUAGACUCACAAAAUAUUGUGCAAACUGAAGAGGAAUAGAAAUGUAAUCAAUAUAGUUAGGGAUACUGAUGAAUGAUAAGGAUACAUUCAUACACUUUCCGUUCUGAUGGUCACGAUAUACUGGAGUCUGCAAAAAACGAUUUUCUUAAAGUACAAAGAGUGAUAAAAAAUAUAAAGAAACUUUGCAUCGGAACACAAUGAUGAAAACUCUGCCAAAGCCUGAGGAAAAGCAGAGAUAUAGCCGAGAUGGCAUCACACUAUGGAUCAACCUGCCACUGGAUUGGGCUCAGACACUUGUGACAAAUAGGCACAAGGGAUGCAGCGCAAAUACAGUGUGACACUAUAUCCUGGGCAUACGCUUGAUGUAUGGAGGAUUAAAUGCCACACACACACUGUCCUGGGUAGAUUGUAUCUAGUGCUGACAGAUACCUGAGGGAUCUGUCUCUUUCUUUAUACACUUUGGCAAUUGCCAUGCCAACAAAGGAUUAUGGGACUGGGGGGGUGAGAAGGAGAGAUCAUUUGCCACUCUGUUUAAUAGAGACUUUAUCCUCUAGGGGGAUUUUGUCAAGAUGUUGGAUUUCUUCUUAAAUGAUAUUUCUACCUGCCUGUACACAUUUGGGGUUGAUAGGCUUUACUCCUUUCCUCUCUGUCCCUCUAACACAACACCUCGUUCUUCUGGAGUCCCAAACCAACCUCUGAGCCAAUGUGGCCUCUCUAAGCUGGUUUGAAAACUGCUGCCCUCAACCCUUGCCUCCAUGCAUGCUGCAAAGGCAAGAAAACAACCAACAUGCUGCAAAGACCAAUUCCUUUCCCUCUCUGGUGAGCCCUCUGAUUGAUGGCUCCGUUCGUCAAGAGAGACAGACUGUCUGGAGUGUGAGAUAGCUAACUAUCACCUGGGGAGGCUAUUAGAGGGAGAAGUAGGGAGAGAGGGAGAGACAAACAGACAGACUGAAAGACAAAGACAGACAGAAAGAAAGGAAUGCUGAGGAGGAAGAAAGAGAAAAAGAGCGACAGCAGAGUGCAAAUGAAAAAAAGACAGUAGCACUUGAUGAAUUAAGUUGUCAACUUUGGCAUCACCUGUGUACCUUGUCAUGCCAAUAAAUUCAUUGAAGCUGAAGCUGCACUGCGAGUCAAGAGUGAGAGAGUGCUGAUGGAAGGAAGAAAUAACAGCCCAUUUAAAGACUCAGAGCAAUUUAUUAGUUACCUCAGGAACAAAGUAGUGACAAUGGGGAAGGAGAGGUGCUUCCCCAUCAUGCUGGGCAGGGAAGCUCAUUUUGGAUUCAGGCUGUCCACCCAGUCACACUGCAGAAAGCAAAGAGAUAAACAGAGGCCUGGUUCAAGAAAGAGAAAAACGGGGGAGAGACUCACUGGGGUUCAAGGGAAACAGGGCAGACACAUGCCUUUGCACAGUACUACAUGCCUUGGGACAUCCCUUGAGGAAUUGAGGGAAGAUAUUGAGAUCAAGUAGCCAGAUACCCCUGUUGUGAGGGGAGAAAAAGGGUGUAGAGCACAGCCAGCAUUGCAGCACUGAGGGAACGUGAAGGAAAGUACAAAUGGAAAGCACAGCUCUGGCAUAGAGGGGUGAUGUGCUGGAAAGCUAGGAGGGAGACAAAAUCCUCUGCUGACUGAGUUGGAAGCAUGGCACUGAGAUGCGAGCAGCUUUGACUGACGGCACCAGGGAGGCACUGCUCCAAGAUGCUUUCCUGCACAGCUAAGGAGAUUGUCACUAACUUUUUAAAGGAUCCUGCAUGUCUUAGAAGAGGAGUUCACAAGCUCCUGCCAUCCCCCAGAACUCCAGUGAACUCUGUUGGAAUGGGAAAACCAAUGGUAUGAUGCCCUCACCCAAUAUACUUUUUCUCCCCUACUAUUACAACUUACCAAACUGAACAGUAUCUGCCCCAAUUGUUUGAGAAAUGUGUCUGCCUCUUUACUCCCUUCCCUUCUUUCCUCCAACUCAUCUUUUCCCACUCAGGAGCUUCUGCAACCCCUGUACUCCCAGAAGAUGUUCAGCUCCCAACAAAAAUUCUCGUAUCUGCCACAGGGACUAAGAGUCACAGAAGCUGAUUUCCAAAGCAACCUCAGACCCCCUGUGACCUCAUUUGUAGCCAUCCAAAGAUGUUUACAUUUAUGUGACAAGACAUGUUCACUGACCCUUCCCUGCAAUGAGCUGAUCGCAACCAACCGCCAGGCAUUGCACCAAGAAAGAGAAGGACACCACCUGCUCCGAGAUUCAUUCCUCUCAUGGCCUCUGCUGCUGCAUGCUCCACUGAUGCCCCGAGCUUGGACAGAGAAGUGGGAAGGAAGGAGAAAGGAAAAAACCUAGAUUCCUCCUUCAGACAGAAGUAUUGUUGGUAUUUCCUUUGAUCAGGGAGAAAUUCUGACUCAGCUACACAAGUGGAGAAGCCAGUCUUUUCAGCUUGAGUGAAAAACUGAAGAUUUACAACUGUUCAGGAUAUUUGGAGAGUUUGGGUAGAAGUAUGUAUACACAUGAUAACAUCUGACAAGUCCAUGCAGAGAAAUAAUAUAUCUGGCAUAAAACUAUCUUAUGUGGGUGUCUUUGUAUGUGCAUACAUACAAGACAUAAACAUACUUAGAAAGUGUACAUAUGUAUAGAUAGAUACAUACUGAUACAUGCACAUAUUGCCAUUUGCUCCUGAAACUCCCAGCCUCUUGGAGAGCUCUCCUCUGGCUGGUGUUUUGUCAGCUGCCAGGCAGCCGUGACACAGCUGCCCUGACCGGAGUCCCCUGAGCUGUGUGGUGCAGCUCUGCUGGCUACCUUCAAUUCAAUAUCAAAUGAGAACAGGGAUCUCACUGAGCCAAGCUCCAUUCUGAUCUGACUUAUGCCCAAAUCAGAUCAGCUGUAGUGCCCUCGGGCUGUGGCGCUGUAUUAAAUUUGAGGGCAGCUUUAAUCUGCUUCACUGUUUGCACAGUGGAAGCUGUGCUUGGCCUACUGGGAAAUCACGAGUAUGUCCCUCAUUCAAGUAAAGUGGACAUUUCUCUUCCAGGAAUUGUGAUCUUUGUGUUCGUGUAACUUAGUUUAAAUGAUCUAAACUGGUGGCUUCCAAUCCCUCUUGUUCUGAGGGCACCUUGCAACUUCCAGGGGAAGGUACAUGCACCAUAUAGUGAAUAUAUCUGUUAACAAUAGGUUUGGUUUUCCUGAAGUCCAUAUACUUCCUGAGAGUCACAGACUGUGGCAAUCUGAUGGAUUUUCACUUACUAAGGGGAAGAAAGGAAAAUGUCUCAUGAUUCAUAGUCUUCUUCUGUUAGGGGUAUUGAGCUGAUUAUUGACACUUUAGCAACAGGAGCAGAAACACGAAGCUGCAGACAUGGGGACCUUUUGCCACAUGGGGACCUUUUGAUGUGUAGAGGCUUGCAGUACUUUUAAGUGUCCCUGUCUCCUUGCAAGGUUACCAGACACAUCCUGCCCCACCACAAGAAGUCACUUCUAACCACACGCAUACCCAUUAUGGGCAUCCUUGCUCGUGAAGGCACCCCACUGACCCUCUGUAGUGCCUCGCUGUCCCUGCCACAACAGAAGGUCAUUGAGAUGCACAUGUAAAUCCCUGAAUGCCAGGCUCUCAGAGUAGGACAGCACUUACACCACCAGUGGUGUCCUGGCACCUGGGCAUUGGCCCUGGUGGCACUGAUCACAUCUGUAAGUGGGCUGUGUUGCUUGCUAGCUAAGCAGGGCUUUGGGUAGCGCCAAGUCAGGAAGCAAGCAGGAAAAAAUCCUUCAGACAGCCUCUCUGUCCAGCUGAGGAGGUACAUGUGUAUGGAAGGUACACCUGCUAAAUGAUUUCCACUCCAACCCACGAGGCAAAGAAAGCACUGACAUCAGGACCACUCCCAAAGAGUCUCUUUCUUAGGGCAUGCGGGUUCCUCUGCCACACCUUAACAGUUCAUGAGGAGGGCUGGUGUCAUGAUCCCAGUGUCACAGGAAAGGAACACCAAGCACAUCGAAAGCAAUGUGACUUGCCCAAGGGAACAGAUGGGACCAAAGCUGAGGGAGGUGGCUGUGAGGUUCAGCAGUGUGACAUCGGGCUGGUGGUAAGGAAGGCUAGCUUCUUACUCUGCCAUUGCGUGGUUCUGAGCCAGUUGUUCCAACCCUCUUUACCCUCUCUUUUCCUCCCUCUCCCGAGCCUUCUGUUUUCCAGUUCUUUUGAUCACGAAUUGACAAGCUCUGUGUGUGUGCAUACAUACCAGUAGCCUGGGCCUUACUUGAGCCUUUUGGUUACUAUAACAAUACAAAUGGAACAACCUAGAAUUUCAGACUUGCCACCCACCCAGCAGUUUGACCAGGGUUGUGCUUUUGCAAAGACCAGGCCUGUAUUCUAGGCUUAUUUUUAGAAAAUCUAAUUUGUAGACAUGAGACCUUGCAGAGGAAACAGUAUUAGACUGAAAAAUUCCCUUCCUCAAAAAGCCUUUUAAAACCAACCAUGACCAACUUGCUAUCCUGAACUGCUGAGGAGCCCAGGACACCUCAAAGGUGGCCUGCCUUUAUCUGUGUUUAGCUGAGAAACAGAUAAAAGUAUUGUAAGGCGGUGAUGGGAUCAUGCUAGAGGCUACAGACAGGAAGAAUGACUGAAUUUCAUUUGAAAAGACUGUUCAAUAGGGGACAUUCAUUAUGACAUCUAAAUUACUAGAUGCCAAGUGUUUGUUAAAAUACGAUGUGGUCUGGAGGGAGGCAAACAAAUAAAAAGGGCUUGGAGAAGCAGUGAGUAAUGGUGACCCAAUUCAUUUAACUAUCGAUAAAACACAGGUGAGGAAACAUUCGGGAGAAAAAAAAUCUCUGCAAAUCAUCAGCUAAUGGAUUAAAUGCAUCUGAGUGUGAGAUGGAAAUUAACUGAUCAAUUCACUCAACAGCUGCUAAUUAUAUGUGACAAGGCUUGGAGAACUCCAGAAGUCUAUGGAGCUCAGAGGAAAACAGUGCUGGUAGAAAAAUUUGAAGGCUGCCUCUUGCCACUGUGGGGUACAACAUUUGCCCCAGUGAGAGAAUGUCACUGUCACUGAAUAAAAUUUAACUGUGCAAA